ensembl:lncRNA
AAAAUUAAAAAGAAAACAUGUACCUGAGGAAGUAGUUUUAUCCUUAGAGUUUUUAAAUUUCUGUGUUAAAAAUUUAGGAUUAUUUUUUAUUCGAUUUAUUGAUGAAAGUUUUAUGAAAAAAAUAAGUAAUUUGCUAAAAUGUACUACAUUAAAAAAAUCAAUUACAAAAAAUGUCAAAUCAAAACUGUCUAAAUUUUUUAUUGUUCCUGUUAUACACCCAGGUGUUGCAACAGAUCCCAGACUACAUUUUAUAAAAAGAAAAAUUUUAUUUAUGUUACAAUUAUGGCAUGAUUCAUUUAUAUUACAUCAACAAGUAGCUAGUGUCUUUUUUUUAGAAUACAGAUCAUUAAAAGAAAAAGGAAUUACCUUUCCUAUUAUUAAUAAAUCGGAAAAAUUUUUUGUUAAAAAUGCUUAUACUUCUCCUUCUUUUUCAGAUGACAACAUUUUACACGAACUACCUCUAAAAUUAACACAAAUUAAUAACAUUAUGAAAAGCUUAAAAGAAAUAAAAAAUAUGUAUAAUGACAGUGAAAAGGCAAAAUGUAUUACUAUCAUAUCAAAAUAUAAAGAUACGGUAUUACAAUGUAUUAAUAAAUUAUCAGAUUAUACUGGAAACGUUAAUAUAUCAGUAACAUUGAACUCAUUGCUUUAUAUAAAUGAUCAAAUAUGUAUUUUGCAGCAGAUGAAUAUGGACAAGUUGGCUAACAAGGGCGAACUUGUUGUAUCUAAUGAUGUGGAUAAACCGGUAGAACAUUCUGACCAAUCAGAGAUGAGUCAAAAAACUGAAUGGGAUACAUGGGGGGAUGAAAAAAAAACUGACGAAUCAAACAAAAAAAAAAAAAAUAAAAAAAAAAUAAAUAAAAAUAAAGCAAAAACACCUGAAUCGAUAAAUAUAAAUGAUCUCAUAUUUAAUACAUUUGAUCCAUGGAAUACUGAACAAAAACAGGUAAAAGAUGACAAAACUAAUAAUUUUAAAAAUAUUAUAACUGACAAUCAAGAUAUAUAUGAUCCUUUUUUUAGUGAGCCAACGGAUACGUUUAAUAGUUUGACUAUUAAAAAUGUGCCUACGACGUUAGAUUUGCUCUGUGACGAAAGUGCUUCGACUGUUAUCACUACCACUACUAGUGCUAAUGUUAGUGCUAUUACCAGUACUAAUAACAAUGUUGCUCAUACCACCGAUGAAGACCCAUUUUCAUUUUUUAAUGAAGAGCCCGAUAAAAAAGAGAAAGUGGAGGAUGACACAUGGACCAAUCAAACAAAAGAAGAGGACAAGUACAGUGUAUUUAAUGAAUUAAAUAUAAAUAAUGAACCGUUUACAACCCAAAAUAGUACCAACAAUCAAACACAAAAAAAUGAAUACAAAAAAUAUAACACAUUCAAUUUUGACACUUUAAAUAAUUCGCUUAACUGGACUAUCGAAUCUAAACAAACUUCAAACGCAUUUAUGUACAAAAAAAAUAACACAGAUGUACGUAACUACAUUAAUACCAAUGAUACCAUAACUGACAAAAAAAAAGAAGCACAAACACAAUCAGUAUUACUUCCAAAACACAAAAAAGAUAAUAAUACAUAUAAUAUGCAUAACAAUAAGCAUGCUAAUAUAUUUGAUAGUUUUUGUUUUGAUACAGAGGACAACCACUUGAGUGGGUUUGACACACAAAAGGAUGAUGUUUUUGGUGACGUUUUUUGUGGUAGUAGUGGUGGUGGAAAGGGUGACAUUUAUAUAAGCGAUAGUAAUAGCAAAGAUAAUGACAUUGUUAGCGGUAGUAAUAAAAGGGAUAAUGACAUUGUUAGCGUUAGUAAUAGCAAAGAUAAUAAUAAUGCUAGCUUUAGUAAUAGCAAAGAUAAUACUUAUGCCGAUAUCAUUAAUAAUGUUACUCCAGAUAUUAAUCACGACAUGAGCGUAGUGGACAUAGAUUAUAUGUCCUUACCACUACCACCAGAAAAAGAAGAAAAUACCUUUAAAAAUAACAAGGGUGAUUUUAAAAGUAAUGACAUAGAUACAAACAUAGAACAUAUGUUAAAAGAUAGCGUACAUGAUAAUGAUAAUAAUAAUAAUAAUAAUAACAAUAAUAAUAAUAAUAAUAACCAAAUAAAAAGUGAAAAUAAUAUUUCAAACAUCAUUAACACAAGUGAACAAACAGUGGUGAAGGAAAAAAUUAUUACAGUUGAUUUAGUCAUUGAAAACACUCAUGAUGACAAUAAAACAUUAGUAGUGGAUGAAACUAAUAACAAAUCAAUGACAACACAACAUGACAUUAUUGCUACUUCUAACGCCACUAACGAAAAGGGUAGUAACAGUAACGAAAAGGGUAGUAACAGUAACGAAAAGGGUAGUAACAGUAACGAAAAGGGUAGUAACAGUAACGAAAACGAUAGUAGAAGUAACAAUAAUGGUGGUAAACAGAAUGAAGAUAGUGAAAGUAACUCUGAUUCGAAUGACAUAAAUUUUGAUGAAAUCGAUGAAAUAACAAAAGCUAUAGACGAUUUGAAUGACAAUUUUGAACAUAUGAAUAGAUAUAAAUAUGAUAAUUAAAAAUAUGCAUUUUUUUUUUUUUUUAAUAAUUUUGUACAUAUAUUAUUGUUACUAAUGGUAAAAAAAAAUGCUAUUUCGUGUUGUUCAUUUUAUUUUUAUGCACGUAUUUGUGCCUAUAUAUAUACAUAUAUAUUGAUAUUUAUAUGUAUAUUUAUAUUGAUAUUUAUAUUUGUGUGAAUGUUCUCUCUUUCUAACCUUUUUACCUUUUUUCUUUUUUUCUUUUUUUUUUCUUCCUCCCAUUUUUAGUGUUUUAUAAAAAAAAUGAAAUAUUCAACAUUCUAAUUAUUACAUGUUAAUAUUUACGUUUUUACAUUUUUAUGUAUAUUUUUACAUCUGUCUCAGAUAAAAUUAUUUAUCAUUUAUUUUAUUACUACUAUAUUACUAUUACUUUUUUUUUACUUUUUUUUACUUUUUUUUACUUUUUUUAUUUUUUUUUUUUUAUGUAUAUAUAAGAACAAUUUUUUAAAUUAUAAAAGUCUGAUAUUUUUUAAUGUAAAAAACAAUAGAAAAAAAAAAAAAAAAAAAAAAAAAAAAACAAGACAG